GGUUAAGCGACUAAGCGUACACGGUGGAUGCCCUGGCAGUCAGAGGCGAUGAAGGACGUGCUAAUCUGCGAAAAGCGUCGGUAAGGUGAUAUGAACCGUUACAGCCGGCGAUGUCCGAAUGGGGAAACCCAGUGUGAUUCGUCACACUAUCGUUAACUGAAUACAUAGGUUAACGAGGCGAACCGGGGGAACUGAAACAUCUAAGUACCCCGAGGAAAAGAAAUCAACCGAGAUUCCCCCAGUAGCGGCGAGCGAACGGGGAGCAGCCCAGAGUCUGAAUCAGCUUGUGUGUUAGUGGAACGGUCUGGAAAGUCCGACGGUACAGGGUGAUAGUCCCGUACACCAAAAUGCACAGGCUGUGAACUCGAAGAGUAGGGCGGGACACGUGGUAUCCUGUCUGAAUAUGGGGGGACCAUCCUCCAAGGCUAAAUACUCCUGACUGACCGAUAGUGAACCAGUACCGUGAGGGAAAGGCGAAAAGAACCCCGGCGAGGGGAGUGAAAAAGAACCUGAAACCGUGUACGUACAAGCAGUGGGAGCACCUUCGGGUGUGACUGCGUACCUUUUGUAUAAUGGGUCAGCGACUUAUAUUCUGUAGCAAGGUUAACCGUAUAGGGGAGCCGCAGGGAAACCGAGUCUUAACUGGGCGUUAAGUUGCAGGGUAUAGACCCGAAACCCGGUGAUCUAGCCAUGGGCAGGUUGAAGGUUGGGUAACACUAACUGGAGGACCGAACCGACUAAUGUUGAAAAAUUAGCGGAUGACUUGUGGCUGGGGGUGAAAGGCCAAUCAAACCGGGAGAUAGCUGGUUCUCCCCGAAAGCUAUUUAGGUAGCGCCUCGUGAACUCAUCUUCGGGGGUAGAGCACUGUUUCGGCUAGGGGGUCAUCCCGACUUACCAACCCGAUGCAAACUACGAAUACCGAAGAAUGUUAUCACGGGAGACACACGGCGGGUGCUAACGUCCGUCGUGAAGAGGGAAACAACCCAGACCGCCAGCUAAGGUCCCAAAGUCAUGGUUAAGUGGGAAACGAUGUGGGAAGGCACAGACAGCCAGGAUGUUGGCUUAGAAGCAGCCAUCAUUUAAAGAAAGCGUAAUAGCUCACUGGUCGAGUCGGCCUGCGCGGAAGAUGUAACGGGGCUAAACCAUGCACCGAAGCUGCGGCAGCGACACUAUGUGUUGUUGGGUAGGGGAGCGUUCUGUAAGCCUGCGAAGGUGUGCUGUGAGGCAUGCUGGAGGUAUCAGAAGUGCGAAUGCUGACAUAAGUAACGAUAAAGCGGGUGAAAAGCCCGCUCGCCGGAAGACCAAGGGUUCCUGUCCAACGUUAAUCGGGGCAGGGUGAGUCGACCCCUAAGGCGAGGCCGAAAGGCGUAGUCGAUGGGAAACAGGUUAAUAUUCCUGUACUUGGUGUUACUGCGAAGGGGGGACGGAGAAGGCUAUGUUAGCCGGGCGACGGUUGUCCCGGUUUAAGCAUGUAGGCUGGUUAUCCAGGCAAAUCCGGAUAAUCAAGGCUGAGGUGUGAUGACGAGGCACUACGGUGCUGAAGUAACAAAUGCCCUGCUUCCAGGAAAAGCCUCUAAGCAUCAGGUAACAUCAAAUCGUACCCCAAACCGACACAGGUGGUCAGGUAGAGAAUACCAAGGCGCUUGAGAGAACUCGGGUGAAGGAACUAGGCAAAAUGGUGCCGUAACUUCGGGAGAAGGCACGCUGGUGUGUAGGUGAAGCCCCUGCGGGUGGAGCUGAGACCAGUCGAAGAUACCAGCUGGCUGCAACUGUUUAUUAAAAACACAGCACUGUGCAAACACGAAAGUGGACGUAUACGGUGUGACGCCUGCCCGGUGCCGGAAGGUUAAUUGAUGGGGUUAUCCGUAAGGAGAAGCUCUUGAUCGAAGCCCCGGUAAACGGCGGCCGUAACUAUAACGGUCCUAAGGUAGCGAAAUUCCUUGUCGGGUAAGUUCCGACCUGCACGAAUGGCGUAAUGAUGGCCAGGCUGUCUCCACCCGAGACUCAGUGAAAUUGAACUCGCUGUGAAGAUGCAGUGUACCCGCGGCAAGACGGAAAGACCCCGUGAACCUUUACUAUAGCUUGACACUGAACAUUGAGCCUUGAUGUGUAGGAUAGGUGGGAGGCUUUGAAGCGUGGACGCCAGUCUGCGUGGAGCCAACCUUGAAAUACCACCCUUUAAUGUUUGAUGUUCUAACGUUGGCCCCUUACCGGGGUUGCGGACAGUGUCUGGUGGGUAGUUUGACUGGGGCGGUCUCCUCCCAAAGCGUAACGGAGGAGCACGAAGGUUAGCUAAUCCUGGUCGGACAUCAGGAGGUUAGUGCAAUGGCAUAAGCUAGCUUGACUGCGAGCGUGACGGCGCGAGCAGGUGCGAAAGCAGGUCAUAGUGAUCCGGUGGUUCUGAAUGGAAGGGCCAUCGCUCAACGGAUAAAAGGUACUCCGGGGAUAACAGGCUGAUACCGCCCAAGAGUUCAUAUCGACGGCGGUGUUUGGCACCUCGAUGUCGGCUCAUCACAUCCUGGGGCUGAAGUAGGUCCCAAGGGUAUGGCUGUUCGCCAUUUAAAGUGGUACGCGAGCUGGGUUUAGAACGUCGUGAGACAGUUCGGUCCCUAUCUGCCGUGGGCGCUGGAGAAUUGAGGGGGGCUGCUCCUAGUACGAGAGGACCGGAGUGGACGCAUCACUGGUGUUCGGGUUGUCAUGCCAAUGGCACUGCCCGGUAGCUAAAUGCGGAAGAGAUAAGUGCUGAAAGCAUCUAAGCACGAAACUUGCCCCGAGAUGAGUUCUCCCUGAGACUUUAAGUCUCCUGAAGGAACGUUAAAGACGAUGACGUUGAUAGGCCGGGUGUGUAAGCGCAGCGAUGCGUUGAGCUAACCGGUACUAAUGAACCGUGAGGCUUAACCUU
rnacentral:rRNA from 1 species